rnacentral:rRNA from 1 species
CCUACGGGUGGUUGCAGUGGGGAAUAUUGCACAAUGGGGGAAACCCUGAUGCAGCGACGCCGCGUGAGCGAUGAAGUAUUUCGGUAUGUAAAGCUCUAUCAGCAGGGAAGAAGAUGACGGUACCUGACUAAGAAGCCCCGGCUAACUACGUGCCAGCAGCCGCGGUAAUACGUAGGGGGCAGGCGUUAUCCGGAUUUCCUGGGUGUAAGGGGAGCGUAGACGGCGAUGCAAGCCAGAUGGGAAAGCCCGGGGCUCAACCCCGGGACUGCAUUUGGAACUGUGUGGCUGGAGUGUCGGAGAGGCAGGCGGAAGUCCUAGUGUAGCGGUGAAAUGCGUAGAUAUUAGGAGGAACACCAGUGGCGAAGGCGGCCUGCUGGACGAUGACUGACGUUGAGGCUCGAAAGCGUGGGGAGCAAACAGGAUUAGAUACCCCAGUAGUC